ensembl:snRNA U6 U6 spliceosomal RNA
GUGCUAGGUUCUGCAGCACAUAGGAUAAAAUUGGAAUGACACAGAGAGGAUUAGCAAUGCCCCUGUGCAAAGAUGACACGCAAAUUCAUGAAGGGUUCCAUAUUAAA